rnacentral:rRNA from 1 species
AGCGGCGGACGGGUGAGUAACGCGUGGGUAACCUGCCCUGUACACACGGAUAACAUACCGAAAGGUAUGCUAAUACGGGAUAACAUAAGAAAGUCGCAUGGAUUUCUUAUCAAAGCUUUUGCGGUACAGGACGGACCCGCGUCUGAUUAGCUAGUUGGUAAGGUAACGGCUUACCAAGGCGACGAUCAGUAGCCGACCUGAGAGGGUGAUCGGCCACAUUGGAACUGAGACACGGUCCAAACUCCUACGGGAGGCAGCAGUGGGGAAUAUUGCACAAUGGGCGAAAGCCUGAUGCAGCAACGCCGCGUGAGCGAUGAAGGCCUUCGGGUCGUAAAGCUCUGUCCUCAAGGAAGAUAAUGACGGUACUUGAGGAGGAAGCCCCGGCUAACUACGUGCCAGCAGCCGCGGUAAUACGUAGGGGGCUAGCGUUAUCCGGAAUUACUGGGCGUAAAGGGUGCGUAGGCGGUCUUUCAAGUCAGAAGUGAAAGGCUACGGCUCAACCGUAGUAAGCUUUUGAAACUGUAAGACUUGAGUGCAGGAGAGGAGAGUGGAAUUCCUAGUGUAGCGGUGAAAUGCGUAGAUAUUAGGAGGAACACCAGUUGCGAAGGCGGCU